rnacentral:rRNA from 1 species
CCUACGGGCUGCACCAGUGGGGAAUAUUGCACAAUGGGCGCAAGCCUGAUGCAGCCAUGCCGCGUGUAUGAAGAAGGCCUUCGGGUUGUAAAGUACUUUCAGCGAGGAGGAAGGCAUCAAGGUUAAUAACCUUGGUGAUUGACGUUACUCGCAGAAGAAGCACCGGCUAACUCCGUGCCAGCAGCCGCGGUAAUACGGAGGGUGCAAGCGUUAAUCGGGAUUACUGGGCGUAAAGCGCACACAGGCGGUCUGUCAAGUCGGAUGUGGAAUCCCCGGGCUCAACCUGGGAACUGCAUUCGAAACUGGCAGGCUAGAGUCUUGUAGAGGGGGGUAGAAUUCCAGGUGUAGCGGUGAAUUGCGUAGAGAUCUGGAGGAAUACCGGUGGCGAAGGCGGCCCCCUGGACAAAGACUGACGCUCAGGUGCGAAAGCGUGGGGAGCAAACAGGAUUAGAUACCCGAGUAGUC